rnacentral:rRNA from 1 species
GACAGAGGCCUCGAGCGUUAGGCGGAAUCACUGGGCUUAAAGCGUGUGUAGGCGGGCCCGUAAGUGUCUUGUGAAAUCCCACGGCUCAACCGUGGAACUGCUGGGCAUACUGCGGGUCUUGGGCCAACUAGGGGCAGCCGGAACAAGCGGUGGAGCGGUGAAGUGCGUAGAUAUCGCUUGGAACGCCGAAGGUGAAAACAGGCUGCUGGGGUUGCGCCGACGCUGAGACACGAAAGCCAGGGGAGCAAACGGG